CCCAGAGUACAAAGGAUUGCAAAUCUUUAGUAGGGUAGGAUUACCCCUGGGCUU
rnacentral:tRNA from 1 species